UACAGAGGGGGCAAGCGUUGUUCGGAAUUACUGGGCGUAAAGGGCGCGUAGGCGGCCUGUUAAGUCGAACGUGAAAUCCCCGGGCUCAACCCGGGAACUGCGUCCGAUACUGGCAGGCUUGGAUUCGGGAGAGGGAUGUGGAAUUCCAGGUGUAGCGGUGAAAUGCGUAGAUAUCUGGAGGAACACCGGUGGCGAAGGCGGCGACCUGGUCCUUUACUGGACGCUGAGGCGCGAAAGCGUGGGGAGCAAACAGG
rnacentral:rRNA from 1 species